AGAGUUUGAUCCUGGCUCAGAAUCAACGCUGGCGGCGUGCUUAACACAUGCAAGUCGAGCGAGAAAGGGGACUUCGGUUCCUGAGUAAAGCGGCGGACGGGUGAGUAACACGUGGGUAAUCUGCCCUCGGGUGGGGAAUAACUCAGGGAAACCUGGGCUAAUUCCGCAUGACAUUUUCAGUGCUCAGGUGCUGGAAAUCAAAGCUGGGGACCCUUCGGGGCCUGGCGCCUGAGGAGGAGCCCGCGGCCAAUUAGCUUGUUGGUGGGGUAAUGGCCCACCAAGGCUUCGAUUGGUAGCCGGCCUGAGAGGGCGGACGGUCACACUGGGACUGAGACACGGCCCAGACUCCUACGGGAGGCAGCAGUGGGGAAUUUUUGUCAAUGGGGGAAACCCUGAACAAGCAACGCCGCGUGGAGGACGAAGACCUUCGGGUUGUAAACUCCUGUCGGAGGGGACGAAAGUGUUGGUGGCUAAUACCCAUCGAUAUUGACGGUACCCUACGAGAAGCCCCGCUAACU
rnacentral:rRNA from 1 species